GUCCCCGUAGCUCAGCGGAUCAGAGCACCAGGCUACGAACCUGGGAGUCGGCGGUUCGAUUCCGUCCGGGGACA
rnacentral:tRNA from 1 species